rnacentral:rRNA from 1 species
UACGUAGGGCGCAAGCGUUUGUCCGGAAUUAUUGGGCGUAAAAGAGCUCGUAGGCGGUCUGUCGCGUCGGAUGUGAAAAGCCCGGGGCUUUAACCCCCGGGUCUGCAUUCGAUACGGGGCAGACUAGAGUGUGGUAGGGGGAGAUCGGAAUUCCUGGUGUAGCGGUGAAAAUGCGCAGAUAUCAGGAGGAACACCGGUGGCGAAGGCGGAUCUCUGGGCCAUUACUGACGCUGAGGAGCGAAAGCGUGGGGGAGCGAACGGGG